GUUCCUAUCGUCUAGCCAGGUCCAGGACACAGGCCUUUCACGCCUGCAGCGCGGGUUCAAAUCCCGCUAGGAACACUA
rnacentral:tRNA from 1 species